UACGAGCAACAAAGACUAAUAUAAUUCAUAGCAUUGUCUGAUCGUCUUGAUGCUCUGUUGCAGCUACGGGAGUUCUUAAUGGACCGUGGUCGUGUUGUCGAUGUAUUGCAGAUUGCCUCAAGUUCUUAAAAGAAAUACCUUCUGCAGCAACAAAUGAUGCAUCUGCCAAUCCUUUCCAACAUUCCAGCUCUAUCAUGAAUCUUUAUCUAGAGACAAGUUCUACUCUUUUGAAGGUCCUUCAAGCCCAUUCUGGCUAGCUCAUCUCCCACCAACUUUCUUAGGAAUUGAGAAGGUUGCAGGCAUCAUCUAUGCAUGCUAAUCCAAGACUGCAAAAUGGUGGAG